rnacentral:rRNA from 1 species
AUUGAACGCUGGCGGCAGGCUUAACACAUGCAAGUCGAGCGGGGGAAGGUAGCUUGCUACUGGACCUAGCGGCGGACGGGUGAGUAAUGCUUAUGAAUCUGCCUAUUAGUGGGGGACAACAUCUCGAAAGGGAUGCUAAUACCGCAUACGUCCUACGCGAGAAAGCAGGGGGUCUUCGGACCUUGCGCUAAUAGAUGAGCCUAAGUCGGACUAGCUAGUUGGUGGGGUAAAGGCCUACCAAGGCGACGAUCUGUAGCGGGUCUGAGAGGAUCAUCCGCCACACUGGGACUGAGACACGGCCCAGACUCCUACGGGAGGCAGCAGUGGGGAAUAUUGGACAAUGGGGGGAACCCUGAUCCAGCCACGCCGCGUGUGUGAAGAAGGCCUUAUGGUUGUAAAGCACUUUAAGCGAGGAGGAGGCUACUCUAGUUAAUACCUAGGGAUAGUGGACGUUACUCGCAGAAUAAGCACCGGCUAACUCUGUGCCAGCCGCCGCCGUAA